GACAUCCAUUGCUCAAUGGUAGAGCAUCUCCUUUGAAGUCAGAAGGUGACAGGUUCAAUUCCUGGCAUCUCCA